AUAAUGGGUCAGCGACUUAUAUUCUGUAGCAAGGUUAACCGAAUAGGGGAGCCGAAGGGAAACCGAGUCUUAACUGGGCGUUAAGUUGCAGGGUAUAGACCCGAAACCCGGUGAUCUAGCCAUGGGCAGGUUGAAGGUUGGGUAACACUAACUGGAGGACCGAACCGACUAAUGUUGAAAAAUUAGCGGAUGACUUGUGGCUGGGGGUGAAAGGCCAAUCAAACCGGGAGAUAGCUGGUUCUCCCCGAAAGCUAUUUAGGUAGCGCCUCGUGAAUUCAUCUCCGGGGGUAGAGCACUGUUUCGGCAAGGGGGUCAUCCCGACUUACCAACCCGAUGCAAACUGCGAAUACCGGAGAAUGUUAUCACGGGAGACACACGGCGGGUGCUAACGUCCGUCGUGAAGAGGGAAACAACCCAGACCGCCAGCUAAGGUCCCAAAGUCAUGGUUAAGUGGGAAACGAUGUGGGAAGGCCCAGACAGCCAGGAUGUUGGCUUAGAAGCAGCCAUCAUUUAAAGAAAGCGUAAUAGCUCACUGGUCGAGUCGGCCUGCGCGGAAGAUGUAACGGGGCUAAACCAUGCACCGAAGCUGCGGCAGCGACGCUGAUGCGUUGUUGGGUAGGGGAGCGUUCUGUAAGCCUGUGAAGGUGUGCUGUGAGGCAUGCUGGAGGUAUCAGAAGUGCGAAUGCUGACAUAAGUAACGAUAAAGCGGGUGAAAAGCCCGCUCGCCGGAAGACCAAGGGUUCCUGUCCAACGUUAAUCGGGGCAGGGUGAGUCGACCCCUAAGGCGAGGCCGAAAGGCGUAGUCGAUGGGAAACAGGUUAAUAUUCCUGUACUUGGUGUUACUGCGAAGGGGGGACGGAGAAGGCUAUGUUGGCCGGGCGACGGUUGUCCCGGUUUAAGCGUGUAGGCUGGUUUUCCAGGCAAAUCCGGAAAAUCAAGGCUGAGGCGUGAUGACGAGGCACUACGGUGCUGAAGCAACAAAUGCCCUGCUUCCAGGAAAAGCCUCUAAGCAUCAGGUAACAUCAAAUCGUACCCCAAACCGACACAGGUGGUCAGGUAGAGAAUACCAAGGCGCUUGAGAGAACUCGGGUGAAGGAACUAGGCAAAAUGGUGCCGUAACUUCGGGAGAAGGCACGCUGAUAUGUAGGUGAAGUCCCUCGCGG
rnacentral:rRNA from 2 species